CCUACGGGUGGCAGCAGUGGGGAAUAUUGGACAAUGGGCGAAAGCCUGAUCCAGCCAUGCCGCGUGUGUGAAGAAGGCCUUCGGGUUGUAAAGCACUUUCAGUGGGGAAGAAAGCCUUGGGGCUAAUACCCUCGAGGAAGGACAUCACCCACAGAAGAAGCACCGGCUAACUCCGUGCCAGCAGCCGCGGUAAUACGGAGGGUGCGAGCGUUAAUCGGAAUCACUGGGCGUAAAGCGCGCGUAGGCGGUCUGAUAAGCCGGUUGUGAAAGCCCCGGGCUCAACCUGGGAACGGCAUCCGGAACUGUCAGGCUAGAGUGCAGGAGAGGAAGGUAGAAUUCCCGGUGUAGCGGUGAAAGGCGUAGAGAUCGGGAGGAAUACCAGUGGCGAAGGCGGCCUUCUGGACUGACACUGACGCUGAGGUGCGAAAGCGUGGGUAGCAAACAGGAUUAGAUACCCCAGUAGUC
rnacentral:rRNA from 1 species